GGGGCUAUAGCUCAACGGCAGAGCAGGGAACUCAUAAUUCCUUGGUUCCUGGUUCGAAUCCAGGUAGCCCCA
rnacentral:tRNA from 4 species